rnacentral:lncRNA from 1 species
CUGCACGCGCCGAGCAGCCGCCUGAGCGCUUGCUUCAUCGAGCCCCUGCCGUUUAGAAGGGGAGCGAGGCUGUAGCCAAGCAGCACCAGCAGAUGGGGCUGUUGCACCGAGCUGGGCCCGCAGCAGUGUCUUGUGUAGGGAGUUCGGGACAGACUAGCUCAGGCCGGUCUAUGAAAGAGAAUUAUGCAUUCGAUAUGAAAUGUCCCCCAAAAGGAAGAAGCUCUGAGGCAGAGAGCAGGCUGCUAGCACCACAGGACACAGAAGUGGACAACGUCCCAAAGGUGUCCAACUUCAGGGCUUUGGGUCCGAUGGCCACAGGCUGCAAGCCCGCCUGCACCAACACCAGCAGCCCUGCACCUCCCUUCAGCUCGAGGUACGCAGCCUGGUGCCGGUCCGCAGCACAGGAGCUCCGACCAUCCUAGGACCUCCGUCUGAUGGCCGUGUCUUACUUCCCAAAAGGGAUGACGUCUACCAGGUAUGGGGCCACUUAAGACUGAAAGCGUGCUUGGAGUUGGAAGGACGGAGGACUUGAGCAUUCCUCACAGAACACACCAGAGCUGGGAGAGCCUGCGAAUCAUCCCGAUCCAUCAUUCUAGCAGUUAAGAACCAGACAGGGCCGGGGUGAGAACCGACUGACUGAAUAUGCACAUCUGGAUUCCCAUGCCUCCCAAAGACCGCUCUCGUUUCACCUGUGAGGAGUGUUCUUACCCCGCCCUUUGGAUUCACGAUCAGACAAAUUGUAUUAGGGGUUUGCCUAUGAAAAUGUUACUGCUUCUGGGUGUGAUGGCAUGUACCUGGAAUCCCAGCUACUUGGGAGACUGAGGCAGGAGCAUCACUGAAAGUUUGAGGCCAGCCAGGGCUGCCUAAUGAGUUCAGGCCCAGCCUGAACUGUACCGUGAGAUCCUGUCUUAAAUCAAAACCAGGGUGGGGAUUUAGCUCAGUGGCACUGAGCCUGCCCAGCAAGCAAGCAAUCCCUGAGUUCAAUCCCCAUAUAGCAAAAAAAAAAAAAAAAAAAAAA